UGCGGUUAAAAAGCUCGUAGUUGGAUCUUGGAGUGUGAGUGAAUGGUCGAUCGAAAGAUUGUACUGUUCGGCACACUCUUCUCUUCGGUUGCGUGUGUAGUGCCCUUAACUGAGUGCUGCACUCGACCGGAAUUUUUACCUUGAAAAAAUUAGAGUGUUCAAAGCAGACCUGAUUAUGUCUGAAUAUUCGUGCAUGGAAUAAUAAAAUAAGAACUUGGUUCUAUUUUAUUGGUUUUCGGAACUCGAGUUAAUGAUUAAGAGGGACAGACGGGGGCAUCCGUACUCUGCCGUUAGAGGUGAAAUUCUUGGAUCGGCGGAAGACGCGCAACUGCGAAAGCAUUUGCCAAGAAUGUUUUCUUUAAUCAAGAACGAAAGUCGGAGGUUCGAAGACGAUCAGAUACCGUCCUAGUUUCGACUGUAAACUAUGCCAGCUAACGAUCAGACAGCGUUCUCUACGACUUGUCUGGCAGUUUCCGGGAAACCAAAGCUUUUGGGUUCCGGGGGAAGUAUGGUUGCAAAGCUGAAACUUAAAGGAAUUGACGGAAGGGCACCACCAGGAGUGGAGCCUGCGGCUUAAUUUGACUCAACACGGGGAAACUCACCCGGCCCGGACACAGUGAGGAUUGACAGAUUGAGAGUUCUUUCU
rnacentral:rRNA from 1 species